UACAGAGGUGGCAAGCGUUGUUCGGAAUUACUGGGCGUAAAGGGCGCGUAGGCGGCCGCCUAAGUCAGACGUGAAAUCCCCAAGCUUAACUUGGGAACUGCGUCUGAUACUGGGGGGCUUGAGUUCGGGAGAGGAAUGUGGAAUUCCCGGUGUAGUGGUGAAAUGCGUAGAUAUCGGGAGGAACACCAGUGGCGAAGGCGACUUCCUGGCCUGUUCUUGACGCUGAGGCGCGAAAGCGUGGGGAGCGAACAGGAUUAGAAACCCUAGUAGU
rnacentral:rRNA from 1 species